CCCCAUUUCAUGAUUUUGCAUUCUCAGACAUCCUUCCAAACAGAUGAUUGAUGCAAAAUCUGCAACAAGAGAUAUUGAAUUUGUUUCUGUUUAUAUUUUUUGCUGAAAUUGUGACCUGAGUAGAAUAUCUCUCUUGCCUCUUGGGUUCGAUGAAAGCUAUGAGGUGUGAUGGGACUUAUAUCUGUUUUGCAUUCCGGAUUUGAUUGACUCUCAUCCUCAUGUUAUGCUGCCGCUCUUCAGACCAAUACUCUGGCUUAUCACCAAGCUUACUCUGGGCUGAAGUGAUCAGUUGUUGCAACUUAUUUGGAGUGCACUUUGCAGAGGACAGCUUCAGAACUCUCAAGUUGUUGUGCAACAUAAAAUCUCUUUUUGCUAUGUUCAACAAAUCUCUACUUAAUUUCUUACUACUGGACAAUAAAACCUGAAUUCAAGACUUGUAUUUCAGUCCGUCUGCACUCUGCAAUAAAACACCUUCCAAAGAGGAAAUAUAUGUAAAAUCUUUGAUUAUGUUUUGCUGAUUCAAGUCUGUAAUUAGUACGGUGAUCCAUCAGCAUUAGAGGAAAUUUGUACAGACUACAGAGCAAUGCCUGUGGAUACGGCUAUGCAAUGAACACCUUCAGGUUCAACAUCA